CCGGCGCACGGUGAGUAACGCGUAUGCAACUUACCUAUCAGAGGGGAAUAACCCGGCGAAAGUCGGACUAAUACCGCAUAAAGCAGGGAUCCCGCAUGGGAAUAUUUGCUAAAGAUUCAUCGCUGAUAGAUAGGCAUGCGUUCCAUUAGGCAGUUGGCGGGGUAACGGCCCACCAAACCGACGAUGGAUAGGGGUUCUGAGAGGAAGGUCCCCCACAUUGGUACUGAGACACGGACCAA
rnacentral:rRNA from 1 species